GACGAACGCUGGCGGCGUGCUUAACACAUGCAAGUCGAACGGUGAAGCGCCUUCCUUUUUGGUGGGUGUGGAUGAGUGGCGAACGGGUGAGUAACACGUGAGUAACCUGCCCCCUUCUUCUGGAUAACCGCAUGAAAGUGUGGCUAAUACGGGAUAUUCUGGGUCUGUCGCAUGAUGGGUCUGGGGAAGAUAUUGUUUCGGUGGGGGAUGGGCUCGCGGCCUAUCAGCUUGUUGGGGGGGUGAUGGCCUACCAAGGCGGUGACGGGUAGCCGGCCUGAGAGGGUGGGCGGUCACACUGGGAAUGAGACACGGGCCAGACUCCUACGGGGGGCAGAGGUGGGGAAUAUUGCACAAUGGGCGCAAGCCUGAUGCAGCGACGCCGCGUGAGGGAUGGAGGCCCUCUGGGUGUGAUCCUCUUUCGCCAGUGAAGCAGGCCUGCCUCGUUUGUGGGUGGGUUGACGGUAGCUGGAGAAGAAGCGCCGGCUAACUACGUG
rnacentral:rRNA from 1 species